rnacentral:rRNA from 1 species
CAGUCGCCACGGUAAUACGUAGGGUGCAAGCGUUAAUCGGAAUUACUGGGCGUAAAGCGUGCGCAGGCGGUUAUAUAAGACAGAUGUGAAAUCCCCGGGCUCAACCUGGGAACUGCAUUUGUGACUGUAUAGCUAGAGUACGGCAGAGGGGGAUGGAAUUCCGCGUGUAGCAGUGAAAUGCGUAGAUAUGCGGAGGAACACCGAUGGCGAAGGCAAUCCCCUGGGCCUGUACUGACGCUCAUGCACGAAAGCGUGGGGAGCAAACAGGAUUAGAUACCCAGUAGUCCCUGUCUCUUAUACA